AUGAUCAAGUGUCAAAAGGGCGUUCGAGGAAUGCCUUGGCAGAUACAGGCGAUGAAGGACGUGCCAUGCUGCGUUAAGCCGUGGGGAGCUGCAAGGAAGCUUUGAUCCAUGGAUAUCCGAAUGGGGAAACCCACCUUUAGAUUCUGAAAAUUCCAAACCCGUAUCCAAUACGGGUGCGGGUUUCGAUUUUCAGAAUCUUGGAUAAGGUAUCUUUUACCUGAAUAUAUAGGGUUUAAGAAGCGAACGCGGGGAACUGAAACAUCUCAGUACCCGUAGGAAAGGAAAUCAACCGAGACUCCGGUAGUAGUGGCGAGCGAACCCGGACCAGGCCGUACAUUGAAAUAACAGGAAGCCAUUGGAAUAGGCGCCAUAGAGGGUGACAGCCCCGUACUGGUAAAAUGAUAUGUCGUUAGAGUAGGGCGGGACACGUGAAAUCCUGUCUGAACAUGGGGGGACCACCCUCCAAGCCUAAGUACUCGUAUCUGACCGAUAGUGAACAAGUACCGUGAGGGAAAGGUGAAAAGCACCCCUAUAAGGGGAGUGAAACAGAUCCUGAAAUCGGACGCCUACAAGCAGUCGGAGGGACUUCAUGUCCUGACGGCGUACCUUUUGUAUAAUGGGUCAGCGACUUAAUCUCUCUAGCCAGCUUAAGCCGAUAGGUGUAGGCACAGCGAAAGCGAGUCUUAAUAGGGCGUUUGUUAGAGGGAUUAGACCCGAAACCCGGUGAUCUAGUUAUGAGCAGGAUGAAGGUGAGGUAACACUUACUGGAGGUCCGAACCCACUUCUGUUGAAAAAGAACGGGAUGACUUGUGACUAGGGGUGAAAGGCCAAUCAAACCGGGAGAUAGCUGGUUCUCCGCGAAAUCUAUUUAGGUAGAGCGUCAUUCGAAUUCCUCUGGGGGUAGAGCACUGGAUGGGCUAUGGGGCCCCACCGGCUUACUGAUCCUAACCAAACUCCGAAUACCAGAGAGAACUGAAUGGCAGACACACUGCGGGUGCUAAGGUCCGUAGUGGAAAGGGAAACAGCCCUGACCGACAGCUAAGGUCCCUAAGUUGUAGUUAAGUGGGAAAGGAUGUAGGACUCCCAAAACAACCAGGAGGUUGGCUUAGAAGCAGCCAUCCUUUAAAGAAAGCGUAACAGCUCACUGGUCUAAUUAAGGGGUCCCGCGCCGAAAAUGUAACGGGGCUUAAACUACACACCGAAGCUUCGGGUGUGCACUUUGUGCACGCGGUAGCGGAGCGUUCCGUAGGCGGAUGAAGGGUAAUCGUGAGGUUGCCUGGACGUAUCGGAAGUGAGAAUGCUGACACGAGUAGCGAUAAAGAGUGUGAGAGACACUCUCGCCGAAAGUCCAAGGGUUCCUGCGUAAAGCUAAUCUGCGCAGGGUUAGCCGGCCCCUAAGUCGAGGCAGAAAUGCGUAGACGAUGGGAACACUGUUAAUAUUCAGUGGCCAAGGGAUGUGUGACGGAUUGCGUAUAUUGUUCACCCUUAUUGGAUUGGGUGGGCCGUGAAGCAGUCCCUGGAAAUAGCCUCCCUAUUAGACCGUACCCUAAACCGACACAGGUGGACUGGUAGAGCAUACCAAGGCGCUUGAGAGAACUGCGUUGAAGGAACUCGGCAAAUUACUCCCGUAAGUUAGCGAGAAGGGAGCCCCGUUCGGAGGCAACUCUGGGCGGGGGGCACAGACCAGGGGGUGGCGACUGUUUACUAAAAACAUAGGGCUCUGCGAAGUCGCAAGACGACGUAUAGGGUCUGACGCCUGCCCGGUGCCGGAAGGUUAAAAGGCGAUGUGCAAGCAUCAAAUUGAAGCCCCGGUAAACGGCGGCCGUAACUAUAACGGUCCUAAGGUAGCGAAAUUCCUUGUCGGGUAAGUUCCGACCUGCACGAAUGGCGUAACGACUUCCCCACUGUCUCCAACGCAGACUCAGCGAAACUGAAUUCCCCGUGAAGAUGCGGGGUACCCGCGGUCAGACGGAAAGACCCCGUGCACCUUUACUAUAGCUUUGCAGUGGCAUUAGUGACAAUUUGUGUAGGAUAGGUGGGAGACUUUGAAGCCCUGGCGCUAGUUGGGGUGGAGUCGUUGGUGAAAUACCACCCUGAUUGUUAUUGAUGUCUAACCGCGGACCGUUAUCCGGUUCCGGGACCCUGCAUGGUGGGUAGUUUGACUGGGGCGGUCGCCUCCCAAAGAGUAACGGAGGCGCGCGAAGGUUGGCUCAGAGCGGUCGGAAAUCGCUCGUUGAGUGCAAUGGCAUAAGCCAGCCUGACUGCGAGACUGACAAGUCGAGCAGAGUCGAAAGACGGCCAUAGUGAUCCGGUGGUCCCUCGUGGACGGGCCAUCGCUCAACGGAUAAAAGGUACGCCGGGGAUAACAGGCUGAUGAUGCCCAAGAGUCCAUAUCGACGGCAUUGUUUGGCACCUCGAUGUCGGCUCAUCGCAUCCUGGGGCUGGAGCAGGUCCCAAGGGUUUGGCUGUUCGCCAAUUAAAGCGGUACGUGAGCUGGGUUUAGAACGUCGUGAGACAGUUCGGUCCCUAUCUGCCGUGGGUGUAGGAAUAUUGAGAGGAUCUGCCCUUAGUACGAGAGGACCGGGGUGGACGUACCUCUGGUGGACCAGUUGUCGCGCCAGCGGCACAGCUGGGUAGCUAUGUACGGACGGGAUAACCGCUGAAGGCAUCUAAGCGGGAAACCCCCCUCAAAACUAGUAUUCCCUUGAGAACCGUGGAAGACCACCACGUUGAUAGGCCGGGUGUGGAAGUGCGGCAACGCAUGGAGCUAACCGGUACUAAUUGUUCGAUUGGCUUGAUCAUUUCUCAUG
rnacentral:rRNA from 1 species